ACGAACGCUGGCGGCGCGCCUAACACAUGCAAGUCGAACGGAGCGUUGCGAGAAGAGCCCUUCGGGGUGAUUCAUGCAAAUGCUUAGUGGCGAACGGGUGAGUAACACGUGAGUAACCUGCCCUUGAGUGGGGGACAACAUUUGGAAACAGAUGCUAAUACCGCAUAAGACCACGGAGCCGCAUGGCUCUGAGGCCAAAGGAUUUAUUCGCUUAAGGAUGGACUCGCGUCUGAUUAGCUAGAUGGUGAGGUAACGGCCCACCAUGGCAACGAUCAGUAGCCGGACUGAGAGGUUGAACGGCCACAUUGGGACUGAGACACGGCCCAGACUCCUACGGGAGGCAGCAGUGGGGAAUAUUGCACAAUGGGCGAAAGCCUGAUGCAGCGACGCCGCGUGAGGGAAGAAGGUUUUCGGAUUGUAAACCUCUGUCUUCGGGGACGAUAAUGACGGUACCCGAGGAGGAAGCCACGGCUAACUACGUGCCAGCAGCCGCGGUAAAACGUAGGUGGCAAGCGUUGUCCGGAAUUACUGGGUGUAAAGGGAGCGCAGGCGGGGUGCCAAGUUGGGUGUGAAAACUAUGGGCUUAACCCAUAGAUUGCACUCAAAACUGGCGCUCUUGAGUGAUGGAGAGGCAGGCGGAAUUCCCGGUGUAGCGGUGGAAUGCGUAGAUAUCGGGAGGAACACCAGUGGCGAAGGCGGCCUGCUGGACAUUAACUGACGCUGAGGCUCGAAAGUGUGGGGAGCAAACAGGAUUAGAUACCCUGGUAGUCCACACCGUAAACGAUGAUUACUAGGUGUGGGGGGAUAGACCCCCUCCGUGCCGCAGCAAACGCAAUAAGUAAUCCACCUGGGGAGUACGGCCGCAAGGCUGAAACUCAAAGGAAUUGACGGGGGCCCGCACAAGCAGUGGAGUAUGUGGUUUAAUUCGACGCAACGCGAAGAACCUUACCAGGUCUUGACAUCGUAUGCAUAGCCUAGAGAUAGGUGAAACCCUUUUGGGCAUAUAGACAGGUGGUGCAUGGUUGUCGUCAGCUCGUGUCGUGAGAUGUUGGGUUAAGUCCCGCAACGAGCGCAACCCUUAUCGUUAGUUACUACGCAAGAGGACUCUAGCGAGACUGCCGUUGACAAAACGGAGGAAGGUGGGGAUGACGUCAAAUCAGCAUGCCCUUUAUGACCUGGGCUACACACGUACUACAAUGGCCGUCAACAGAGAGAGGCGAAACCGCGAGGUGGAGCAAAACUCAGAAAAACGGUCUCAGUUCGGAUUGGAGGCUGCAACCCGCCUCCAUGAAGCCGGAAUUGCUAGUAAUCGCGGAUCAGCAUGCCGCGGUGAAUACGUUCCCGGGCCUUGUACACACCGCCCGUCACACCAUGAGAGCCGGGGGGACCCGAAGUCCGUAGCCUAACCGCAAGGGGGGCGCGGCCGAAGGUAAAACUGGUGAUUGGGGUG
rnacentral:rRNA from 1 species